GGCGAGCGAACGGGGAGGAGCCCAGAGCCUGAAUCAGCAUGUGUGUUAGUGGAAGCGUCUGGAAAGGCGCGCGAUACAGGGUGACAGCCCCGUACACAAAAGCGCACAUGCUGUGAGCUCGAUGAGUAGGGCGGGACACGUGGUAUCCUGUCUGAAUAUGGGGGGACCAUCCUCCAAGGCUAAAUACUCCUGACUGACCGAUAGUGAACCAGUACCGUGAGGGAAAGGCGAAAAGAACCCCGGCGAGGGGAGUGAAAAAGAACCUGAAACCGUGUACGUACAAGCAGUGGGAGCACCCUUUGGGGUGUGACUGCGUACCUUUUGUA
rnacentral:rRNA from 1 species